AAUAGAUACCCAGGUAGUCCAUGCCGUAAACGAUGUCUACUAGCCGUUGGGGCCUUUGAGGCUUUAGUGGCGCAGCUAACGCGAUAAGUAGACCGCCUGGGGAGUACGGUCGCAAGACUAAAACUCAAAUGAAUUGACGGGGGCCCGCACAAGCGGUGGAGCAUGUGGUUUAAUUCGAUGCAACGCGAAGAACCUUACCUGGUCUUGACAUAGUAAGAACUUUCCAGAGAUGGAUUGGUGCCUUCGGGAACUUACAUACAGGUGCUGCAUGGCUGUCGUCAGCUCGUGUCGUGAGAUGUUGGGUUAAGUCCCGCAACGAGCGCAACCCUUUUCCUAUUUGCCAGCACUUCGGGUGGAACUUUAAGGAUACUGCCAGUGACAAACUGGAGGAAGGCGGGGACGACGUCAAGUCAUCAUGGCCCUUACGACCAGGGCUACACACGUGCUACAAUGGUCGGUACAAAGGGUUGCUACCGUAGCGAUAGGAUGCUAAUCUCAAAAAGCCGAUCGUAGUCCGGAUUGGAGUCUGC
rnacentral:rRNA from 1 species